AGACGUCUACAUUAGAUACCCCGGUAGUCCUAGCCGUAAACGAUACUCGCUAGGUGUCGGCCACGGUGCGACCGUUGUCGGUGCCGUAGGGAAGCCGUGAAGCGAGCCACCUGGGAAGUACGGCCGCAAGGCUGAAACUUAAAGGAAUUGGCGGGGGAGCACAACAACGGGUGGAGCUUGUGGUUUAAUUGGAUUCAACGCCGGAAAUCUUACCGGGACCGACAGCAACAUGAAGGCCAAGCUGAAGACUUUGCCGGAUUAGCUG
rnacentral:rRNA from 1 species